AAGGUGGUGGUACAUAGCGCUGAGAGAGAAAGUGCAUAGCCCAGGCGUGUUUCGGCAGAAGCAGCAGCAUGGAGGGUUUCGCUGCCGGCACUGUGCUCUCUGGGCAAGCUCGUUGACCUAAA